GCGAGUUAUGUGUGGCGGCGAGUAAAGUCUGCCACACUUACGAGCAGUACUUGUUAUGCUUCAGUUUGCCAGAAAUCAACUUGCAAAUUGAGUAUAGCCGUAGCGCGAUGUGCUUCCCUGGACGGGCUUCCAAUGAUCCUCCACCUUGCCCCGUCCCACCGCCCGCUGCCAUGGCCUGCGCUACGUACUGUACUCACUAAUGCCACGCAUUACUGAGUGUAAUUCGCUGCAUGGAAUCGUGGACGCCUCACAGCAGCAGCCCAGGGCACUGGCGGCGUGCUGCUGCAGCGUGUGACGCUGGUUUGUUGCACAAUGGUUCAGAUCAGCGAGGCCACCACCUGCUCAGCCUGAAAUCCGCGGCCUCUUCACCAGCCGCUAGGCCAGGACUGCCCUCCUCCUCCACCACACGUCCAUAGACUUUAUGCAGCGGGUGCUAAGGGAGGCACUUCCACGUUGCUACGUCACAACUGCUCGCCCGGCCACAGAUGCUGCCUAGUGCCUACAGCUCUGACGACGGCGAACAGCACACCUCGCUACUCCACCGGCUGACUGGUGCCUGCUUUGUGUAUUUGUAAAUAUGUAUGUAGGCUAUGUAUUUAUGAAUAUAUUUAUGUAUGUAUGCAGUGUACUUAUACACAAUAAACCUCUGAUAAUUCUAAUAAGUUAUGACAAAUUGUGCAUUGUUUCUUGAAUUAUUGUACCCUCAUGUUUGUGUGUUUAUUAAUUGCACUGAUGCCACGUGGGGCUUGGCAUUGUAUUGUCUUCUGCACCAUACUGUCUUGAGCUGCGUAACAAUCUUAUCACGGAACGAAUGAUAUCAUGCCAUUGAUGUCAUCACGUGAAUGUCAUGACCAAAUAGUACUCAAUGUUACUGACUGUCACAAACAUCUUCACCGUACCAAAAAGAUACACACUGUUUCUCUUCGGCGGGUAGGCGACAAUCACUGACAUUUUCUUUACUGACAAUAACAAAAAUUGAUUGAUCAUUUGCUAAUUGUUUCCGGUAAGUCUUUGACUGCGUGCAUUACACACACACACAAAAAAAAAAUCAUUAAAUGUCGCCCGGCACGACCUGAAUACUUUUAACGAGGCGUGAAGGAAGGAGAUGGGUGAGGGAGGCCCAUCCAGGUCCUCCGUCAAUUUCUCGCAAAUUAAGCAAAACGCAGCAUAUGUGUAUAGAAUAUUUUCGACUUUGGAAUUAAUUGAAUUAUCAAAUCCCGAAGUGUGUACAUCUUAAUUCAAGGGACACCCUGUGUCUGUUUGAGUACGGCUCGCCACAAUUAGUAUGUGAAUAGAUUUAUUAAGUUGACGAUGUCGAGAUAAUUGCAUGAAACAUAUGUUUCAUGCAAUUAUCUACGAUUAGAUAUAAACGGCACGAUCUUUAAAAUAUACGUGCUAUUAUACAAGAGAGAGAGAUCAGCAGCCCCGUAUUCUCUUACUUGUCACCACCGCAGCACCAAUGAAAUAAUGCAUGCCUGUGGGACACGUAAUGCACUGAUACCUUGCAACCACUAAAAUUAAACUAUAACUUACUCACUUCGCCAUAUUAACUGCUUUAAAAUCACUUUCAUUCACAUUUCAUGGUGUCGGUUUUUUACAUUCAGCAACGCAACAAAAACCAUGUGCAUUAUAGAUCACAGGUGUAUGGCGUGAUUAGGCGUCGUGGUGAAGGUCUCUCUCUCUCUCUCCAAUAGUACAUGCAGUUAACUUAAAAUCUAAAAGUGGAUAAGAAACUACUACUUCUAGAAAAUGUAAAUAUAUUUCAUUUAAAUAAUCUUUAUGUACAUAUGAGAUUAACAACAAUACUGGAAAAGAAUAAACCUCCCUGGGCUUGAAGCUUCUCCAAGGGUAUUGAAGAAUCCUGUCUGUAUACUGCCCAACAGUCCACCAUUUUCAUAUUACAUUCAAUUGCCAAUUGUUUCUACAACACAUGCAAUUCAACUGAACUGUACAAGUCGUUAAAUAUGAGAAUGUAGCAACUAAAUUAAACUGCAUGUUUUUUUUUUUUUUUUUCUCUCUCUCUCUAAUUACUGAAGCACCAUUCUAUUUUCAAUGCAUUCCAAAGUUUUGAUUUGCAGCUUAAUAAUGAUUCUGUACAUAAAUGGCACUGUGUUACAUAAUAUUUCUAAUGGUUUGAAGUGUGCUGAGGUGAAGACUGUGGACAGUAUACACACACUAUGUUUCCACUGGCCUGCAUAGUGGUGGUAGUAGUAGUAGUGGUGGUGGUGGUGGAUGCUGUUGUUGGUGGUGGUGGUGGUAGUGUUCAGGCUGCUCACAGGUGAUACAGAGCUGCUGGCAGGCCAGUCUUCACAGAGCAGUUUUUUAUAACCCAAGUGUUCCCAAUUAGAGAUACUAUUGCAUUGGAAUACAUGUGAUAUGUCUUCUUCUAUGACUAUACAUAAGAUAACAAGAAAAAAACAUAUCACAAAGAAAAAUUGGAUGCAUUAGUUACAAUGUCACUAAUAUUACCUAUUGAUUUUUUUUUUUUUUUUUCAUCAGUUGAUAUCAGACAGUAGUGCAUACUAUUACUUUCUCUUGAUUUCUAUGUCUGGCUCUUUGAUGUUACAGCCAUUAUUGUCUACACCUGUAGUGACAGUGCACUAGGACAAACACUUUACAGAGGUUCAAAUGGUUAACUACCACUUGUCUAGACUGCUAGGGAAGGAGGGAGAACUCAAAAGAAACAUCACACCUCCAAGGCUAGAGGAAUGACUAAAGAUUACAAUAACCCUUCAGAAACUUUUCUUCUUACAAACAAUUAAUAUAAUUUCUUUCUAAAUGAGAAACUUUCACUUAUCUGAAGUUCAAUGACAUAUAAUGGUGUUUUCAUGUGGCAUGAGCUGUUGAGAAGUACCAAUUGAACUGCAGCAGUUAUAACUCACGACAAAAUCAAUGAACUUACACUACAUUUAGAAGACGACUCAUACUAUUGUCAUACAUCAAUACAGGUGCUUCUGACAAGGUAAAUUGGGAAGCAUUCCACUAUAUAAAGAUAUCAGUUACUUAACAUACUGUAUAUCAUAUCCUUGCAUUAUAUCCAAGACAGAGUUGAAACUCUCAACCCAAAAAUAAGAGUGCAAAUUGGCCAAGUAUACUGGACUCACUGGUUGACAAGACCAUCAAGCAUAAUGCAGAAAAGCAUACCAGUUCUUGCAAUAAAGGUAAAUUAAGACAUGACAAUAAUUCCCUUUGACCUGAAUACUUCAAUUCAUAGUACCAUCAAACUAAAUGCAAAAGCGAAAUAUUUCAUAACACUAUAAUGCUGUGCUAAACCCAACACCAGCAACCAUGAGUGCAACAUAAAUACAGCUAGAAUUGUUCAACAUGAGCCUUGGAUCAGUGUACCAUAAGAGGUUUAACCAUUUCUUAGUAUUACUUGACAUAAACAUCUAAAAACAAGUGUUGACAUGUUAAUUAUGACAUCAAGCAAGUCAACGUAUCACAACUGGUGAGGCAACAAGUUCUCCAGCAUACUACAAGUGGGUGAAAAUGCUGGAGACCACAGAAAAUUUUGCAAAAACAGCAGGUCUCGCUUGCAAUUAUCACAAUUUCAGCACCUCCUGGAAACAUUCUAAGGCUGUUGCCCCUGCAACCAGCUCUAUAAAAAUAUGUACAUUAAAAUAUGUACAUUAUGGAAACUAUGAAUCUGUGGUUUUCAUUAGGUAGACAGGAUCACAAACUGUUAAAACUUGUUACCUGUUUCUGUUCUCUCUCUCUCUCUCUCUCUCUCUCUCUCUCUCUCUCUCUCUCUCUCUCACACACACACACACACACACACACACACACACACACACA
rnacentral:lncRNA from 1 species